rnacentral:rRNA from 1 species
GACGAACGCUGGCGGCGUGCUUAACACAUGCAAGUCGAACGGAAAGGCCCUGCUUUUGUGGGGUGCUCGAGUGGCGAACGGGUGAGUAACACGUGAGUAACCUGCCCUUGACUUUGGGAUAACUUCAGGAAACUGGGGCUAAUACCGGAUAGGAGCUCCUGCUGCAUGGUGGGGGUUGGAAAGUUUCGGCGGUUGGGGAUGGACUCGCGGCUUAUCAGCUUGUUGGUGGGGUAGUGGCUUACCAAGGCUUUGACGGGUAGCCGGCCUGAGAGGGUGCCCGGCCACAUUGGGACUGAGAUACGGCCGAGACUCCUACGGGAGGCAGCAGUGGGGAAUAUUGCACAAUGGGCGAAGGCCUGAGGCGGCAACGCCGCGUGCGGGAUGACGGCCUUCGGGUUGUAAACCGCUUUCGCCUGUGACGAAGCGUGAGUGACGGUAAUGGUAAAGAAGCACCGGCUAACUACGUG